GGGGGCGUGGCGGAAUUGGCAUACGCAGGAGACUUAAAAUCUUCGGCCGAAAGGAUUGUGGGUUCGAGUCCCACCGCCCCCACCA
rnacentral:tRNA from 1 species